UACAGAGGUCUCAAGCGUUGUUCGGAUUCAUUGGGCGUAAAGGGUGUGUAGGUGGCGCCGUAAGUCGGGUGUGAAAUUUCGGAGCUUAACUCCGAAACUGCAUUCGAUACUGCGGUGCUUGAGGACUGGAGAGGAGACUGGAAUUCAUGGUGUAGCAGUGAAAUGCGUAGAGAUCAUGAGGAAGACCAGUGGCGAAGGCGACGUCACUGGCCCGAUACUGACGCUGAGGCGCGAAAGCGUGGGGAGCAAACAGG
rnacentral:rRNA from 1 species